UUGCCCUGCCCCAGUACAUCCGGUCACAUUUUCUGGUCUCCAGCUGUCUUCUGCCAGCUGCCUACCACAAUUUGCUUAAUGUUGUGCUUCAGAGAAUCCUUUAUAUUUGCAAAUCAAAGCAUUCAGUAGAAACUGCAGCAAAGUUGGAGAAGAGCUUCUACCCUCCAGCCAUGAACAGAACCCUGAGGUCCUGCCUCCUGGUAGCUGCAAGAGGGAGCGGAUGAAACUUCCUCUACCAAUGGCAUAUUCCAUCAACCAUGACCUGAUGUCCCAUUCCCCAGGCAAAUAGUAAAGCUUCCAAGAAACU